CAAACAUAUCAGCCUUUUAAAGAAAAACUGACUUUUGGAAACUGCCAGAACUCAAACCUGGGGAUUAAGCCAUCUUAUACAGUCACAUCUUGUGUGCGUGUACAAAGGGAACACAUCCAUCAAAUGUCUCCCCAGUGAACCAGAGGAUAAGCAAACCAACGACUCCUGGAAAUUAUUAUCCAUCUUCUUUGUUGGUCAACUUAAUGUAAAUCAGGAAGAAAAAC